UUAACACAAAUUGUAUGGAGUCGGCAAGUUUGCCUCCGUUUGCCGCUGGGAGCGCUGCUCCAACUGCAUACAAAUUUCAGUUA
rnacentral:pre_miRNA from 1 species